AGCGAACGCUGGCGGCAGGCUUAACACAUGCAAGUCGAGCGGGCAUAGCAAUAUGUCAGCGGCAGACGGGUGAGUAACGCGUGGGAACGUACCUUUUGGUUCGGAACAACACAGGGAAACUUGUGCUAAUACCGGAUAAGCCCUUACGGGGAAAGAUUUAUCGCCGAAAGAUCGGCCCGCGUCUGAUUAGCUAGUUGGUGAGGUAAUGGCUCACCAAGGCGACGAUCAGUAGCUGGUCUGAGAGGAUGAUCAGCCACAUUGGGACUGAGACACGGCCCAAACUCCUACGGGAGGCAGCAGUGAGGAAUAUUGAACAAUGGGCGCAAGCCUGAUCCAGCCAUGCCGAGUGAGUGAUGAAGGCCCUAGGGUUGUAAAGCUCUUUUGUGCGGGAAGAUAAUGACGGUACCGCAAGAAUAAGCCCCGGCUAACUUCGUGCCAGCCGCCGCCGUAA
rnacentral:rRNA from 1 species